GAGAGAUGGAAAACAAGCAAGCUGACCUUAAUUUCGCGUCGGAAAAACGCGAGGGAGCUCGCGGCGUCGCGGCGAGCGGAGCCGCGCCGGUUAGGGGCACGUGUGCACGUUGCACAUUGCACAUUGCGCACGUAUGCGGGCGCGUGCAAGCGCCGCGCAGCGCGCGCUACGAACGGGGCGUGCUUUCGAUACUAAUGAGCCAGAUUAGAUGAACCGUUAGAUCCGCGCCGCGAUAUAAAUCACCGGUAAGAGUACGUGCGUUAAGCUUUUUCUGUUCCAAUUACUUAUGCACACGCUGCGUGUCCUGGAUUCUUCUUUCUCGGCCUUACGAGAUUAUGCGCCCCAGCUUCGGAGAUAUUUUCCACCCCGAUCACUAUGCUCGUCUUUCGCCGUGAUAUUUCUACUUUGGACUUGUCGUUUCUUGGAUUUUUUUGAUACUAGACGGAUUUUUGGUAACUUUUUUCUGCUUGGACGCUCGCGACUUUACGCUGUUUAUCUCGUGGAGUUGCAGUAUUCUUUAAAAUUGUUACUCUCUUUACUCUAUUUUUUUUAGACAGUUAGGCUUUAAAGCACGAAACGAGAAAUUGGAUGGUAGGAUGUUAUGGUUAGCACGUUAAGCGUCCAACGAUAGAUCAACCCCAAAAUUUCAACCCCAAUCCUAAAACUAUCAAAGUCGUUUAAGUAAUAAAUUAAAGUCGUGCAAUUUACUAUAGUAAUUAUUGGUAUAAUCUAUUCUAGUGUAUCGGAAUCGAAAUGAAUUUCAAAAGUUAGUUUGUGAUCAAUGCGGCACGCGAUGCAUUAAAUUGACAAGAUGAAUAGAGAGAUAAAUGAUGCAAAAAUUGGAAGAAGCAAUGUACAACCUUAUUUAGAAAAAAGUCGCAUUCCAACAACCUUGGUAAACGAAAACUUUCGUCGAGUCACGUACAAAAAGUUGUAAUUCAAUACAGUUUUGUCCGAUUCGAAAAUUACAGCAACAUAAUUCUUUUAUGCUCGCCGUCUGGAGGAUUGCUGAGAUUACGGGGUCCAACGGUUGCCAAUUCGUGGAGAUGGGCGAACAGACGCGAGACUGAAACCGCUUCUGACAGCAGACGAAUUGUUUAGGGUCGCUCGCUUAGAAUCGUACGCGAGGGAUACCUGGAGCUAUCGAAGAUCUCGGGGAACAGUCGGAAGCACAAUGGUUCGAACGAUCAUCCGUGAUAGAAAAAAGAAAAGAGAAAAAAGAUCGGCCGGCUCGAAUUCCAGCGGAGCUUCAAUGCCUGUAUUUUCUCUCGUAAAAAAGACCGUAAAUCCCUGCAUUGAAAACAUAAAAAAGGGCGAUGAGGGGGCCGAUAGCGUGGACCUAGUUGACCGAGCCAGAAAAAUUCAGAAAAUCGAUGGACAGAGAACGAAACCGGACAGCCAGGAAUGCUCGAGCUCUUUUACAUCUCGCCAAAUUAAGAAAGACAAUAAAAACAACAGCCAGUUUUCAUAAAUAUCCGCCAAUGAGAAGAAACGGUAUUUCGGUUUUUCACUACUUUUUUCAGUAAUCCGCGGAUCGCCGUCUUUAUCUCAUAUCUAUCCUCGUUUGCGUUAACCAGUUAGCUGUCGCAAUCUCGUUGAAAAGUGUACAAGUUACUGUUAUUAUACUGUGCAUGUUUGAUCAUCUUCAUAUUUUGUUUAACACUAUAAACCUACCACGGUCAAAAUGACCGAUUUUUUAU